UACGGGAGGCAGCAGUAGGGAAUCUUCGGCAAUGGACGGAAGUCUGACCGAGCAACGCCGCGUGAGUGAAGAAGGUUUUCGGAUCGUAAAGCUCUGUUGUAAGAGAAGAACGAGUGUGAGAGUGGAAAGUUCACACUGUGACGGUAACUUACCAGAAAGGGACGGCUAACUACGUGCCAGCAGCCGCGGUAAU
rnacentral:rRNA from 1 species